UGAGUGUGAUAAAUGAUGACAUGAUAGUCACGUUUGCUAAUGUGGAAUUCUGAAAUACUUACAGGUAAAAUGAUAGAAAGUCUGAGACUUGCCUAUUCCAGGAGGAAAAGAAACCACAGAAGGGAAGGGAUGAAAAGCGUCCACUACUGCAUUGCUGAUCCCGGAGGGAUCCGGGAUGCUCAUCGUGGCUGUGUCAUGGCUGGCUCUGCGGAGACCCUGAUCCUUCUCAGGUGAUGCACUGGAAGUCCACAGCAUCCUGCUGGUCUCCUCAAAUGUUUUCCUUCCUCUCCUUGCAACCGGUCUUGCAGCAGGUGUUUUCCUCCCCAUGAGCCUCGGAUUACAUAGGCUGCGGCCACCGUAGCUGGCUGAGUGGCCGUCUUGUGAGCUGAGAGCAGAGAGCACCACUGGAAGACGUGUUUGGGGCCUCAGGCACCAGAAGGCUGUGUUCAGUCCCUGUGGCAGAGGCCAGAGCAUCCUUUUGAAGUCACCCCACCACUGCUGUUGCAGGGAGCCGCAGCCCCCCUCACCUAGAGGAAGAGAGCCAAUGCCUGCUCCGCAGAAGGAAGCCGAAGUUAGAGAAGAAUGAGGCUCACGGCCUGCUUGCUUGAGAGGACUGUGUUCAGUGACGACAC
rnacentral:lncRNA from 1 species